rnacentral:rRNA from 1 species
CUUUUCUUGUUAAUAAUUUGAAGUAUAACCUGCCCACUGAUUAAUAUUUUAAAGGGCCGCAGUAUUUUUGACUGUGCAAAGGUAGCAUAAUCAUUAGUCUUUUAAUUGUGGACUGGUAUGAAUGGUUGGACGAGGAAUAUACUGUUUCUUAUUAAUUUUAUUGAAUUUAAAUUUUAAGUUAAAGUGCUUAAAUAUUUAUAUGGGACGAGAAGACCCUAUAGAGUUUUAUAAAUAAUGUUUUAUUUUGGUUUGAAUUAUGAUUAUAUAAAAUAUUAUAUAUUUUGUUGGGGUGAUGAAGAAAUUUAAUUAACUUUAUUUUUAAUUAUAUAUUUAUUUAUAGUUUUUUGAUCCUAUUUUGUUGAUUAUAAGAUUAAAUUACCUUAGGGAUAACAGCGUAA